rnacentral:rRNA from 1 species
AUGUACAAUAAUGUUGUGACAAGUGUUCGAACAAGUGAUGUCGACACCGAUGAAUUCCCGAUUAAGAUAGGACUGCAUCAGGGGGUAAAUAGGAAGUUAGAGUUAUGGAGACAAACCUUGGAAUCGAAAGGGUUUAGGCUUAGUAGAACUAAAACCGAGUACAUGAUGUGCGGUUUCAGUACUACUAGCUGUGAGGAGGAGGAGGUUAGCCUUGAUGGCCAGGUGGUACCUCGGAAGGACACCUUUCGGUAUUUGGGGUCAAUGUUGCAGGAGGAUGGGGGUAUUGAUGAAGAUGUGAACCAUCGAAUCGAAGCCGGAUGGAUGAAGUGGCGCCAAGCUUCUGGCAUUCUCUGUGACAAGAGAGUGCCACAAAAGCUAAAAGGCAAGUUCUACAGGACGGCGGUUCGACCCGCAAUGUUGUAUGGCGAGGAGUGUUGGCCGACUAAAAGGCAACAUGUUCAACAGUUAGGUGUGGCGGAGAUGCGUAUGUUGAGAUGGAUGUGUGGCCACACGAGGAAGGAUCGAGUCCGGAAUGAUGAUAUACGAGAUAGAGUUGGGUAG